rnacentral:rRNA from 1 species
UACGUAGGUGGCGAGCGUUGUCCGGAUUUACUGGGCGUAAAGAGCGCGCAGGCGGUCGUCCAAGUCGCGUGUGAAAGCCCCCGGCUCAACUGGGGAGGGUCACGCGAUACUGAUCGACUCGAAGGCAGGAGAGGGAAGCGGAAUUCCCGGUGUAGUGGUGAAAUGCGUAGAUAUCGGGAGGAACACCAGUGGCGAAGGCGGCUCCUCGUGCCGUGUCGUGACGCUG